GAGGGUUGCUUCCGGGGUUUUUGGGGAUGGGGAGUCCGAUUCCGGCGUCAGUUUGCGGAACCGACGAUGGCAGCCUUCCCCUAGCCUUUGGUCGACGUCGGCGGCGGCGGGAAGGAGCGGGGAGGACGGCUGCGACAACUGGCGGCGCGCAGGAGACGGGGAACGGGGGAACGGUGGGCUGCCGGAGGGAGAAGGAAGGAAAAGGAGAAGGAGAGGGGGAAGGGGAGGGAGGAAGGAAAU
rnacentral:lncRNA from 1 species